UAAAAGUAGAUAAAAGUAAGUUAAUUCUAUAAUAUUUAAUAUAAAAGCUUCCUAGAAACUUCCUAGACGUUGCUUUGACUUCAUAGGUGUCUUUAAUUGACUUUUUGGAUUAGAAACGUGGUCAACAAGUUGGCCAUGUGCCACACAUGUUGUUAGCUUGAAAAUCAAGCUAACUAUGUGGCCCACACGUAGAAAAACUUGCCUUGUAAGUCAAGGCAUGUGUCCUACAAAGUCAACACAUAUUGGAGGUCCUAUAGAACGUCGCCACGUAGCCCCUAGUUAGAUAGUAUAUAUAGAGACAAGAGUGAAGGCUUCUUCACUCUUGUCAACUCCUUUCUUGCUUCUAGUCUAGGUUCAAGAGUCUUUAGUUUCUUGUCUUGUGGCAAUAGCCAUUCCAGUUUCCUUUUAAUAUAUCUACUUGUUUAUAUUUUGACUUGUUAUAUCGAGAUAGCCUUUUGGUGUAUAUUUUUCCUCAUCGAGUCUUUGUCCUUGACACUAAGAUGGCAAGAAGUCCAAGCUCUCCCUUUCCUUUGACUUUUUAUAAUAAGACAAUUAAGAAAUUACCUACUACAAUAAUUAACAAUAUUUUUUUAUUAGAUUUUUUUCUUUGCAAGACAAUCACACUACGUUAAAGAAAAAUUCACUUAUUUAUAUCUCCAAUCAACUUUGCACGUAUAAAAGAAUUCCAAUGUGGACUUCUUCUUAUCCGAUUCAAAUUAAUUGGUAUUUUUUGAGUUAGGAUAGGAAAGGCUUCUAAGGCUCUAUUGAUUAUAAAGAAAAUAAAAUCUAUAAGAAGGAUUAGAAGGUUAUCUCUUCUCGCAUCUUUGUACUUGAUUCUACCUUCAAAUUUCUAGCUCCUACUCUUUAUAUUCAAGUAAUUUUUUAAAAUUCCAAGGAAAGAAAUAAUUGAUAAGGUUCAAGGACAUACUUAUUUUUAAUCUAUCAAUGCUACUUCUUCUCAAGCUCUUUCUCUUCAAUCCACAACCUAUGUUAGAAAAAUUAAUUAAAGCUUGAAUGACAUUGUGAAGAAGAUAUUUACCUUGAAUAAUGAAUCUUCUUGUUUCUCCUUUCUUAUUUUCUAUAUUCUUUUUUUUUUCCAAGAUUCUUCUAACUACCUUUUUUAUCUCAUUCUUCUUCUUAAAAUUCUUCUUCUUAUCUUAUUGAUGAAAAAAUUCUCCUAAGAUCUUGUUGACUCUUCGUAGACUACUUCUGUGAAUAGAAGGAAUAUGAAGGAUAGAAGGGGUGAUUAAAUCUCCCUACCACUAGAGAAAGACGCUCCAUUGGAUUUUUAUAAAGAUGAAAAGAAAUGGUAUGAAAGGUGGAGGAGGUGAUUAAAUCCUCCUACUAUUAGAGAAAUACCUUCAAUAAAAAAAAUUAUAAGAAGAGAGAGUAUUGAAAUAUUGAAGACAAGCUCCACCUCUUAUACUUUUAGAACUCACAAGCAACUUAAAAAAACCACCAAGUAAUGCUAACACUUACAAUAAACUAAUUAAAUAUCAAUUAAGAUUAGAAACAAUAAUAUUACAUAAAAAAUCAAUCAAUAAAAAAAUAAAAAAUAAAAAUAUUAAAUUUAUUUCAAUACAUAAAACUUAUUAUGUAUGUAAAAGAAAAAAUAAUAUUAAGAAAUAAAAGUAAGAAUGAGAAUCAAAUGAAAAAAAUUACAAAUAAAAUAAAAAAUAAAGUAAAAAUAUAAGUAAAAAUAAAAGUAAAAAUAAAAGUUAAAAGUAAAUUAAAACUAUUAAUUAAGUUUAUUUUUUAUUAAUUAAUUAAAUAAUUAUCUUGAAAUAAUAAUAAUAUUAUUAUUUAUAUAUAUUUUUAAUUUAUUAUUAUUAUUAAUUUAAUAUUAAUUCUCUUUUUUUUUGUUUUUGUUUUGUUUUGUUUUGUUUUGUUUAGUUAUUCAUUUAUUUAUUUAUUUAUAUUGAUAUAUAUAUUUUAUCUUAUUUUUUUAUUAUAAUUUGAUAUAGUUAAAAAGAAGAUUUUUAACAAAUUUUUUAAAAAUAUAAUUUAAAAUCCAAAAUUUAAAUGAUAGAAGAGAUAGAAAUCACUAUCUUCAAUUGUAUUCCGCUCAUGGCAGCAACCUCUCUCCACUCCAAAAAUCGCCAAAAAUUCAAUUUUGAUUCAAUACCAUUGAAGAUUUUACCAUUAUAAACUCAACUUCAAGAUUUUUGUUUUCAAAAAUUUCCACAAUAAUAUAAUUAUCAGAUACUAAGAAAUGCCUUUCCAAACAAGGCAUACAUGAAACUACCUAGGUUGUGAACCUCUUCCUAAUCUAAAAUUCACUAAAAACUCAAAUCAACUCUAAUUUGAACAUAUGAUAGCUUUUUAAAAAGCUAACAUCAAAACACAUAAUAAUAAGAAGUUUCAACUCAAAAGAUACAACACAUAAAAACUGAUUGAUAAAAACCCGAGAGUGAUCCACAUUCAAUUCAACAUUGAAAUCCUUGACUAUCUUAUAAAGUGAAAAUUUGAAAUUCUUUGUUUUCACUCAUAAAGAAGAGAUAUAGAACACUUAUCAAGCCUCAUGAAGUUUUAGCCUCAUGAAGGCUCACAAGUACUGUAUAUUGGUUCCUAAGAGAGGCCACAAGGCCUUAGUCUUAUCUUCUUAACUACGUUCAAGGUGCUACAACCCAUAUGGGACUUCUACACCUCCCUUCGUAUACGGACUAUACUAACUGCUGGUCUUCCUAUUUUCUAGUAGUAAAAUCUAUAAUUUUAUAUUUUUAACUUUAUCAUGAUGUUUAUAAAUAUCCAAUUAGCCUAGAAACCUUUUUGGUCUUCAAAUCUUGCUCCAUUUCUUUAUAAUGGCUCCUCAAGUGAUAAAACUCAUUUUUACCAAAGUCAUGGAAAUUGCUAUACAAAUUUCUAAAAUAUUUUAAAUAAAUUUUAAGUAAAUUUUAAAAAUUAUUAUAAUGGUUUUAUGAUACUAAUAUGAAUUUAAAGAUAUAAUUUCCUAUCUUAAUGAUUUUUAUAAUAAUAGAAUCAAUUUAAAUCUACUAUAAAUCCUACUUUCUAUAUAACUAACUAAAAAGAUAUGAGGUUCUUUUUCAUGCUUCUUCUAACCACUAACUAACAUUUAUAGUUUUUCUUAUAAAUAAUAUAUAUAGAUAGAAGGCCAAUAUAAAUAUUGAUCUUAGUAAAUAUUUUUCAAUACUUAAUAAUAAAUAAAAAAUAUUAAAUCAACUAAGAUAAUUACCUCCAAGACUUACUAAGAUUUCAAUUUUACAACUAACUCUUUAAUUUUUUAUUUGUCUAAAGAUUUUUAUACCAUUCACUAUAUAUUAUAGUUCUAAGUACUCUAAAUGCAUCUUUUUAUCUUAAAAUAACUAGUGAGAUAAUUUGAUAACUCACAAUAUCUUAUAGGUUGUACAAAUUAGUCAUUUUUUUUAUUCUAAUACUUGUUGAAGUAAGUCACUUAGUAAAAGGCAUUACCUUAGAUAAGUUGCCAAUAGUCAAAAGGCAACAAAAGAAUAUAAAGAAGUUACUAUGGUGGCUUGUAGGAUUUGUAGGUGGAGGCUAAAUUAAGAAAGAACCUAGGGUUUAGUUGGAUGAAGUAGAAAUAGAUGUAACAUUAAUAGAAGUUACCUCGUUAGUUGGCAACCACCACCUAUAAGUAAGAAGUGUUGGAAGUAUAAGUUAUCUUACUCCAUACUCCCUUUUGUGUGCAACCUUGUUGAUGCUGAGUGUUGUGACAACUUUGUUCUUUAAUAGCUUAUGGACCCACUCACCUUUAGUUGUGAGUUUUGAACUUCUUUGAAGUCUUUGUUGGUGUUAAGAGUAGAUCUUAUGGUUGUUGCUGAUGUUAGGGUUUGGUAUCUUCUAAAUCUCCUUUUGUAUCUAGUUAUUGAUGUAAUUAUUGUCUUAUUUGUUAUAAAGUGCAUUCAUAAUCUUGGAGGUUGUUAGAUACCUUAGAUUGAUGUUUAAAGACAUUUGUGUUAUGUUUCCUUGCUGAGUUUCAUCAUUGGUGCUCUAAUUUUGUGCUUUUAUGUAUUGAUCUCCUUGAGAGAUCCACUUAUUGUAAUUAGAGAUGCUUUGGGAGGUUAGAAGAGUUUUGUGAAAGAAGAGAGGUGAUUAAAGAGAGGCAAAGCUUAUUUAAGAGGUUAUCAGACUUGUGAAAAGUCUUAUAAGUAAAGUUGAGAGUGAUUGAAGAGUGUAAACAAUAGUUUACUCAUAAAAAAGGCAUUCUGGUUUUCUAAGGCAAUAACAUCUUCUUGUUGAUUUUGAAAGUUCAUUCUUCUCUUUUCUUCAUUUUCUUUGAUACAUCCCUUUUUUAGACAUGGUUGCAAGUGAAGGUGAGGAUUUGAGAGUAAUUCAGAAGUUUAGGGGUGACAACUUUUACCAUUGGAAGAAGAAAAUGGAGAUCUUGUUGGCUUCAUUAGACCUUUGGGAUAUUGUUGAUGAAAGUGAAGACCCUCUAAGUGACAAUUCUGAUGUAAAGGUGAAAAAAGAGUACAAGUGAUGUGAAAGAAAGGCUUUUGGCAUGAUUGCAAUAAAUCUUGAUGAUGCCAAUUUUUCACAUGUAAUUGCUUGUACUGGACUAGCGGAAGCAUAGAAGACUCUUUGCAACAUCUAUGAGAGUAGAAACCUUGCCAACAUUCUAUGGACAAGAAAGAAGUUCUUAAUAGUAAAGAUAGAAGAAGGACAUGACCUCAUGGCUCAUAUCAAUAAGGUAAAAGUACUUGCAAAUCAACUAGCAAUUAUUGACACACUAGUUGAUAAUAGAGAAAUUAUGUUGACAUUACUCAUGAGCCUUCUUGAGUCCUACAACUACCUCAUUGUAGCAUUGGAGUCUAUCAACAUGAAAGAGCUUACUAUGAACUAUGUCACGUCAAGACUUGCCUAUGAAGUAAUCAAGAAAAAAGAAAAAGAGCAUUAAAGUGAGGAUUUGGCUCUAUUUUCAAGACAAGGCAAAUGUAGCUACUCUCACCAACGUGAUAGUUUAAAGAGUAACAUGAGAAAUUACUAUAUUUGUAGAAAAUCAGGUCACAUUGCUAGAAAUUGCUACAAAGCCAAGAAAGGAGAUAGAGAGAAUGCAAAUAAUGCUUGUGAUAACAUUCGUGAAGAUGACUAUGCUUUCAUGGCAAGUGAAAGAGCAUCUAUGGCUACGAUGUCUAAGUGGAUUAUAGAUUCAAGUGCUACUAAACAUAUGAUAUCAUAUAAGUAUUUAUUUGACACUUAUGAAGAAAUUCAAACAACCAAAGUUUGGUUGGGAGACAAUGGCAUGGUACAAGCCAUUGGAAUUAGCUCAAUUAUCGUGGAGAUCGUUAUGAAGGUCCAAAUCAAGAGGAUCAAAUUGAAGGAAGUCUUAUAUGUGACAAAAAUAAAAAAAAAACCUCCUUUUGGUGAGCAAAUUUAUAUUACAUGGUUAUAAGGUUCAAUUUGACAUGAAUGGAUGUUUUGUGAAGACAAUGGAUAGACAACAUGUUGUGAAAGGUCUUAGAGAUGGAAAUCUCUACUUCAUCAAUUGUAAAAAGGUGAAUGUAGUUAAAGUGGCUGCAUUUACUGAUUUUUCAUAAGAUCAAGACAAGUUUGGAAUCUGGAAUUAAUGACUUGGUCAUUUGAAUGCAAAAUGCAUGAAGGAGCUUCAAUCCAUGGUAAGUGGCUUGGAUCUUGGUCAUUUCAACCACAAUGACAUGACACUUACUUAUGAAGGUUGUAUACAAGACAAACAACAAAAGAGUUCAUUUCCAAAUGGAGUUGCAAGACGUAUAAUCAAAUUAUUGGAGAUUAUGCAUUCUAAUGUUUGUGGACCAAUGAAGACACCAUCAAUUGGAAGAGCAAGAUAUUUUGUCACAUUCAUUGAUGAUUUUUUAAGAAAAGUGUGGAUUUACAUCAUUAAAGCUAAAAGUGAGUAUUUUUCAAGGUUUAAGGAGUUUAAAGCUCUUAUAGAGAAAUAAUAUGAAUGCAAGAUCAAAAUAAUAUGCAUAGACAAUGGAGAUGAAUACAUGUCAAAGAAUUUUGAUGAAUUCUUUAAGAUUAAAGGUGUUGCAAAAUAAAUCUCUACUCCUUACACUCCACAACAAAAUAGAGUUGUUGAAAGAACAAAUCAUACCAUUGUGGAGAUGGCAAGGAGUAUGCUUCAUGUACAAUACCUUGGUCAUGAAUAUUAGGCUGAAGCCAUGGUUACUUCAGUGUACAUAAGGAAUAGGUGCCUCAUAAGUAAACUGACAUCAAGGACUCCACAAGAAGCUUGGAGUGGCAAGAAACCUUGUGUUUCACACAUGAGGAUCUUUUAAUGCAUUGCUUAUGCAAAGGUAAUAGAUUACAUGAGAUCAAAAUUUGAUGCAAAGAAUAAAAAACGUAUAUUUAUUAGAUAUUGUAAAGAUACAAAGGUAUAUAGGAUAAUAUGUUUAGAAACCAAGAAGAUCAUAAAAAAUCAUAAUGUUGAGUUUUUGGAGUAUAAAAGUGCUCUUGAGUGCUUGAAAAUAUGUCUAAGUGGGAAUAAUGGUGUGUUUGUAGACACAUCAUCAAUUUCAAUAAAGAAAGAAGAAGAAGAAGAAGAUGAUGGUAAUAAUGAAGAUGGAAGAAAUACAAAUCAAGAUGAAGUAUCAAAGAAUAUAAACCAUAGUGUGCCUUCAAUUAUUAGAACUAGCAAUAAAUAUAAUGAAGAUAUUGAUGGUAAUGAUGAUGAUGAGGAUUAUCAAGCUUUAAGUGAAAAAAGACAAACUUUAAGGAAGAAAAAGCUUAAAAGAGAGUAUAAAGUGUAAGAAGAUGAAGCAUCUCCAAAUGAAAGAAGAUAUCCUUUGAAAGAAAGAAAAACCACAUGGUGAAUGGUGGAAGGAUUACAUAUUUCUUCAAAUAAGUGAAGAACAUGCCAAUUUUGCUCUUCUUACUAAUUCAUUAAGUUUGUGUAAUGCAAUGAACUCCACGGAUGCUAUGAAAUAGGAGAAUGCUAUGGAAGAAGAAUAAAAAUCAUUCAUAGACAAUGGAACAUGGGAAUUGACUCAACUUCCACCAAAUCGAUCUUCAAUUGGUUGUAAGUGGGUAUUUAGAACCAAAAGGGAUGCAAUGGAUAAUAUUGUAAGAUAAAAGGCUAGAUUGAUUGCCAAAGACUACUCACAAGUUGCUGGUGUUGAUUUUAAUGAGACAUUUGUUUCUAUGGCCAAAUUCACCAACAUUAGAACCAUUGUGGCAAUUGGGGCAACAAUGGACUUGGAGAUGCAUCAAAUGGAUGUGAAGAUGGCAUUCUUGAAUGGAAGCUUGAAAGAAGACAUCUACAUAGAUGAACUUCAAGGAUUUGUAUAAGAAGGCAAUCAACAUCUUUUUUGUAAAUUGAAGAAAUCUUUGUAUGGACUAAAGCAAUCUCCAAGAGCAUGGUACCAAUGCAUUGAUACUUUCUUUGUGACUAAAGGAUUUGUAAGGAGUGAGGUUGAUCAUUCUUUGUUUGUAAUGCAAUCAAAUGAGUUCAUAUUGAUUGUCAUCUUAUAUGUUGAUGAUCAAAUUAUCUUAACCAAUACUAUGAAGAUGAUGGAUUAGUUGAAGGCAAAGUUAGAAAGAGAGUAUGAGAUGAGUGAUUUGGAAGACCUUCACUAUUGCUUAGGAGUGGAGUUUCUAAGAGAUCGUGCUAAGAAGACCAUUAUAAUGAGCCAAAGCAAGUACAUUGAAGAGGUGUUGAAAUGAUUUAAUAUGGAGGAGUGUAAGCCUAUUGGAAUACCUUUGAAAGCCAAUUUGAAGUUGAUGAAGCUCAUGGUGUCAUGUUGCAACACGACUAUAUGAUGAAAAUAUAAAUGAAAAAGAUUUAUUAAUAUUUAGUCAUCUUGGAUGUUAGAAGUAGUGACUAAUUUCAAUGCCAAUAUUCAGGGGCCAAUUAAUGUCACCCCAUUAUAAGCUGUACCAUCAAACAUGACAAUAGUGUAUGCUCUACCAGCGUCAUUGAAUCAAGUAUCCUCUAUACCAACAAGACGAUUAGGAUCAUUUUUAACCCUACAUGGAACAAGUCUAAUAGAUAUAUACCAGUGGAGAAACCCAAUAUGCUUGAUGGGAGUACAAGAAGACUACUUCGUUGUUUUCGUUGUAGACAGAUUGGUCAUUAUACUAGUGAAUGUUCCAAUCCCAGAGCCAAUGACAAUUACGCGCUAGUGUAUGGGAAUAGCAAGCAGUCGGGGCAUAUUUAUUAGCAAUGUAAUGCUUUGUUUAAUUUCAAUAAUUGAGAUCAACAGAUUCAAAGCCACCAAAAAAUUAAGGAGAUAAAUUGAGGUCUUGAAGAUUCUCCGAUAAAUCGGGUGAAAUAAGUCUAAGCCGUUCUUAUCAAGAGUUGAUAAAAGGAAAAAAAAACCAAUUCAAUAUUCAGGUGAAUCUGAUGUAAAGGGCCAAUUUGAUCCAAUUGUGGGGACAUCCAAUCUAGGUCUUGGUAUAGGCUUCUUAUCCAGUAUGAGAAUUGACUCGGUUAGGCAACCCAAUGAUGUCCCGAAUAUAGAGGCUUCAGUUCGAUUUUAAGCUAUUUCGUUGUCUAUGCUGUUUCGGGAAAACAUCCUUUCCAUAGAAAGAUCCUCUUAGAGGUAGAAAUUCCAUGGAGGCGGGUCUGUUGUUCCAAUUUGGAGUCCAAGGUAGAAGAAUAGGGGACGUCACGGAGUUGAAAGAAAGGAGAGGAAAAGAAAGGAGGCAUUCAGAGAUCGAGAUUUUGGGAUUGGAGAGCUAGCUUCAAGCUCCUUCGAAAGGUGUAGAAUUAGGUUUUAUAGGAUUUGAGAGGACUUUGCAAUCGUUGCUCAAAGUUAGAGUUUGUAUUGGUGAAUUGGGUUUUGCAAUAAAAGAAAGGCAAGUACUCUUGACUGUUUUGUGAAAUUAGAGAUAUAUUUGUGGUUGAAAUUUUAGAAGUGUCUAGAUGGUUGAAUAUACUAAGUUCAUGCAAAAAUUUGUGUUAAUCUUAUGAUACGGAUAGAUGAUAUUUGAUCAUUAGUAUAAAGAGGUAUUAGAAGUUGGCAUAUUAGAGUUGUUUAGGAUUUUUGUAAUAUAUGAGAUCUAUCGACUAAAAUAAGAUGAAUUUUAACAUAGUAAGUUGAGGACUCAAAGGUAGAGCUACACACAAAAUUUGAAUGAGAAUUAAUGGUCAGAGAAGGAAAAAUUAUAAGUUAAAGUUCGUCAUCAACCUUCUAGGCGAUGGUCAAAGGACUUCAGUGUGGAUUUACGGUGUUUUCUUGCAAUCUGUAAGUUGGAUUGGAUUGAACUUCUUGAGCAUUUAGAAGACUUGUAAAGACACUAGUGGUAGAAAUCUCACAACAAUCGGAUGGUCACAUUGAGAAUUACAGCUUAUCGAGGCUUACUGUCUAAGAUUAGGAUUUAAAAAAUAAAUAAAAUAAAUAAAUAAAUAAAUAAAAUAGAAAUAAAAAUAACAAAUAAUAAAAGAAUCUAUGCUUAUAAUAUCCAAAAGCUAUUAAAAAUAGUAUUCUAAAUACUUUGUAUUAGAAUUAAGAUUUUAUAUUGAAAUCCAAAAUAGUUUAUAUUUAGAUAGUUGAAAUCCAUUAGACUACUUGGAUACUUGCAAAACAUUGUUUUAUCUUCCACAACCAGACGUCCGGUGCAUUCUCAAGCUAGAUAGCACGUAAUACAAUAAUGGAUGAAGAAUUUACUGAAAUUAAAGGUCAAAUAUAAGGAAUUCCAUACAAGGCAGCACUGGGUUCAAUAAUGUAUGCAAUGGUUGGUACAAAGGUAGAUCUUGGAUAUGUGGUCAGUAUUGUGAGCCAAGAAAUGUCAAAAGUUGGACCAAUCCAUUGGACAACCAUCAAAAGGAUCAUGACAUAGUUAAAAGGUACUUUGAAUUCUAAAUUAUAUCUUGGAGGUGAUAACAUUACUUUGCAUGGUUAUUGUGAUGCGGAUUAGGGUGGAGAUGCAAAUGAUAGAAGAUCAACAAUAGAAUAUGUAUUCCUUGUUGGAGUAAGAGGUAUAUCAUGGAAUUGUAAGAGACAACCAAAAAUAGUAAGGAAAAUAAUAGAGGUGGAGUACAUGGCAGCAAGCCAUAGUGCAAUGGAGGCAAUAUGGCUAAAACAACUUUUGGAGGACAUUGGAGAUGUGCAAAUGGAAGCAACUCCAAUAGAGUGUGACAAUCAAAGAUGUCUUGCAUUUACAAAAAAUUCCAAGUAUCAUUCAAGGACAAAAUACAUUGACAUUCAACAUCACUUCAUGAGAGAGAAGAUUGAAAUGGGAGUUAUUGAUAUGAAGUAUUGUGCAACGAAAGACAUGCUUGCUGAUUUGUUGACAAACGCAUUAGUAAAGGAUAAACAUCACAUGUUGACAAAGGCUUUAGGAUUGAAAGCCCUUUGAUCAAUAGCAAAGUGGGAGUGUUAAAGUAACUCACUUAGUAAAAGAUAUUACCUUAAGUAAGUUGCUAGUGGUCAAAAGAUAGAAAAAGAGUAUAAAGAAGUUACUAUGGUGGCUUGUAGGAUUUGUAGGUGGCUGCUAGGUUAAGAAAGAGUGUAGGAUUUAAUUAAAUAAAGUAGAAAUGGAUGUUACACUAAUAGAAGUUGUCUUGUUAGUUGGCAACUACCACCUAUAAAUAAGAAGUGUUGGAAGUAAGAGUUAUCUUACUCCAUAUUUUCUUAUGUGUGCAACCUUGUUGAUACUAAGUAUUGUGACUUCAAAGUGCUUAUUCUUCAAUAAUACUAGCUCAUAUAAAUAGUUUUUUUUGUGGACCAAUGUCAUAUUAUAUGUUGUCUUAUUUGAAAAUGCACUAAGUACUUGGUUAUAUAAGAUGAAGUUAUAUUCUAUAAGUAUCCAAAAAAACUAAUAGAUUUCAUCCAUAUAUAAAGAAUGCAAUUUGAAUUUUAAUUCAAAAGUACUUAAAGCCAAUAAAAAGUGUUAAAAAAUACUCUUUUUAAUAACCUUAAGCAUAUAUAAAUUCUAAUUUCUUUAUUCUAUUUUAUAAUUAGAUAAUUUUGAUUUUUCUUUGUAAGUCCUUAUCCUAGUUAAUGAGCUAUAUUUAGUUAUAAUUCCUAGUAUGAUUAUCUACUUAAUGUCAAUUUUUUUGAAUAAAUAUUAUUAUAAGUCUUUUAUAUGCUUAAAAAAAAUUCAAUCCAAUCAAAUUUACAAAUUGUGAAAAAAUGUCCAAACAAUGCAUUGAUGUUACUUAGCUGCCAACUUAAAAGUUGAUGCAAAUGUUCUAAUGGAAAUUUUUUCUUUUUCAAUUAUUAACCUCAGCUCAAAAUUAGUAUGUAGCUUGAUCAUCCAAUCUUCUAAUACCGUGCCAAAUUUCAUCUUCUUUUAAGUAGUAGAUCUUUAGAUAUCAUAGAAAUUCUAUCUAAUGUCAAACUACCAACUUCCAACACCCUAUUGUAUCAAAAAUUAAAUAUCUCUCAAUUACAUUGUUAAAUUAAUACAAAAAUUUAUGUAAAAUUAUCACACUCAAUCAACCAAGUACUCUCAAAUUUUGAACUAUAGAUGUAACACCAACUGUAAAAAUUAGCUGAGAGUGUUAAUUCUAAUUGUAUUGCAUAAAUUCAAAGUCACCAAUAUAAACCUUGACUUUGAAAAAAAAUUGCAAUGACAUUCCAAAUCCUAUAAAAACAAGCUUUAUAUUUCUAAAAGAGGCUUAAAGCUAGCUCUCCAAUUUUAAUUAUUAAUCUUCUAAUAUUCCUAUGCUUUGCCUUAAGUGGCUAUUUUAGUGGCUAGAGGUCUAAAUUUGAUAUUGUUCUUCAAAUGGUUGAUCCUUGGGUACCAAUUUAAUAUAUUUUAGGAAUUUCUUAGCCAAAUCCUACCAUCAAUUUUAUCUUAUUCUCAACCAUAUUAAUUAUUUAUCUCUUCUAUCCUAUGUUUAUUAAUUUAUGGCCUUUUUAAGACAAUAAAAGAAUUUUUAUAGCUUCGAAAGUAAACUACUAACCAAUCUUUAAUCUACUAAAUAUUAAGACAAGAAAAUAAAUUGAGAUGUUUUUGUAAAAGCUAUGUUUAAAUUUUUUGAAUUGUUAUUAAAUAAAGAUGAUUAGAUAUUAAUUAAAAAUUUAUUUUUGAUUAUAUAUUCAACAUAUAGUUGUAUUAUAAUAUGACAUUAGAUUUGAAUCUUGACCACUUUUUAUAUAAUUACUUUUUUAGGUAACUUUCCAAUAAUCUAAAAAUAUUUAUUUAUUUUAAUUUAUCUUUGAAUUAUAUAAUAUAUAUAUUUUUUUUAUAGAAUUUUUUAGCUCUUAAUAAAUAAAAGAAAUAAUAUUAUAAAAUUUAUCAUUUAAUAUUUUUACAUAAGUGAAUUCAUCUUAUCUCUUAAUAAGUAAAAGAAAUAAGAUGGUUCAAUAUUUCUAUCUUUUUAUUAGAAAUAAUUUACCAUUUAAUAUUUCUAAUUAUAAGAAAUUAUUAUCAAAUAUUUCUUUAAUAUGAUAAGGUCUUAACCAAAGAGUAUCAAUUUUUUUAGGAAAAUCCAUUCUCUUAGAAUUUUGUAACAAUAUUAGCAUCUUUAAUUUUAUGACUCUCUUCUUGUAUUUUUUAUCAAAAGAAAUUUUCUUCCUUCUUUGAAUAGCUUUUAUAUAUUGAACUCUAAUUCUACAAAUUUUAUUAAGAUCCCUCAAUUAUUCUAAUCUAUCUCUUAAUAAUUCUUGGAUAGUUAAUUUGACAUCUAUUGCUAUCUUUUAGAGAAUUGAUUUUAAAUUCUAUUUGUAGUAUAGCUUCUAUUCCAUACAAUAAAAAAAUAGAGUGACUUUGGUUGUGACCUUGUAGAUUGUACAAUAAGCUUACAAAGCUACUAGUAAUUUAGUAUAUCAAUAUUUCUUUGAGACUUGUACUAUUUUUCUGUGGAUAUUUAUUAAGGUUUGGUUCAUUCUUUUCGCAUGACCAUUAGUUUGUGGAUGAUAAGGAGUUGUCAUAUAAUGAUUUCAUAUUAAAUUUAUUAGUCAUCUCUUUUAUUAUACUAUUCAAGAAGUGUGUGCCUUGAUCACUAAUCAAGAUUUUGAGACAACCAAAUUGAAUAAUGAUUUUCUUAUAUAUAUAAUUAGCUACAUGGAUAGCAUCAUUAGUUUUGUCAAUUCUUACCUCAGUCCAUUUUAUUAGAUAUUCUAUAGCUAUUAUAAUAUGUUUCAUCUUUCAUGAUGAAUUCAAAUGAUUUUUUCUUAAAUAAUCAAUUCUUUAUUUUUCAAAGAGAACUAAAGGCAAGAAUAUGUAAAGCAGUAGUGCCAUAUGUAAAUUAUUUAUUAUGUAACAUUGGCAGCAUCACAUCUUUUAGCAUAAACAUAUACAUCUUAGAAUAUGGUAGAUUAGUAAUACUUGACUCUCAUUGCUUUUUGAGCCGUCAAUCUACUCAAGAAGUAUUCUUUCGUAUUAUAAUUUUAUUUUGCCGUGUUAGGCUUUUCACUAGCAAAUGCAAUAGAAUAAUCUUUAUGUCUACCUUUUGUUGAUUGACAUAAUGUACUAUCUAUUACUACAAAUGAAGCAUCACAAUAAAUAUGGAAGAGAAGAUUCUAAUUAGAUGGUUUUAUUCAAAGUAAGAGCUUAAAGUUGCUUUUAUCCAAUCAAAGGCUUCUUAAAAAUUUUGUAUCCUCUCAAACUUAAUUAACUUCCUUUUGAGAUUGGUAAUGGAUGAAGUUUUUGUGAUAGUUGAAAAUUAAUUCUUGAUACCAUCUAAGAUGUUUUAAGAUCAUAUCUACUCCUUUAACAUUUGUAGGAGGUUGUAUUUUAGCUAUGGCCUUUAUUUUUUUGGAUCAGGUUUUCUUUCGUCUUUAGACACCAUAUAAUCCAAUAAGAUUCUUUUUUGUACUGUCAAGAAUAUUUUGUUGAGAUUUAAAUUAAUUCCUAUUUUUUUGUAUUUUUUUAAGGUUUUUUCUACAUAUUUUAGAUAGUCUUUGGCAUUGGAUAGGAUACUAAAAUCACCUAUAAAUACCAUCAUAGAUUCCUAUAAUAAAUCCAAAAAAGAAAAGGUCAUGAUUCUUUAGAAGGCAAAAAGGGCAUUAUAAAGCCCAAUAGGCAUGAUCAAAAAAUUGAAUGUACACUAAGAAGUAGUAAAAGUUGUUUUAUAGCAAUCUUUUAGGGACUAUAGAAAUUUAAUUAUAAUCCAAAUAUCCAUCCAUAAACAUGUAGGUUUUGUUAUCUGUUACUUCAUCUAAAACACUAUUAAUAAAAGGAAAGAAAAAAUGAUCCUUUUAAGUGUGCUUGUUGAAUUUUCUAUAAUCUAUGCACAUUCUUAAUUUACCAUUCUUCUUCUUUUUUACAAAGACCAUAGAAGAGAUCCAAUCUAUUAUUUCUGCUAGUUUAAUAAAAUAAGCUUAUAAUAGUUUUUCCAACUCAUUUUUAAUAAUUAAUUGGACUUGAGAAUUCAUAUGUCUUUCUUUUUAUCUAAUUGCCUUGAUAUCAGAAAUAAAGAGAAUAUGAUAUUGAGCCACUUCAAGUGGUAUAUCUUUCAAAUCUUUAUAGGACCAUACUAAAACAUUUGGAUAUUUUAUGAUUAAAUCACAAUAUAUAGAUACCUCCUAAUUUAAAUGAAUUCUAAUUUUAAUAUUUUUGGGCUAUUUUUAUUCAUAAAAUAUAUCUAUAAGUCUCCAUUUGGAUUUUUAUAUUGGAGAUUAUUUUAAAGAGUUUUUAUACCAAUUACUAAAUAUAAGAGGAUAGUUGAAAAUUCCAUUGCCAACCAAAAUUUUCAAUGAAGUUUUUUAAAAUCUAAGAAGUAGAACUAAGUCAUCAUCUCUUAUAAGGACCCCAAUUUCUUCUUUUAAUGUUCCAUCUAUGUUAUUGCUAAGGAUAUGAAUUUCCUCAAUUUUUGUAAUUUUUAACAUAUCUUCUAAAAAAUUAACUAAUUCCAAAUAAUUAGAAUUAGAGUUGAGAUGAUUGUUUGGCCAUUAUUUAAAUUCUUUAUCAUCCAUCUAAUGAAUAAGGUGAGAACAAAUAUUUUAUUUUCUUUAAAAUUAGGUUAUUUGAAUUGACCACUUUUAUUAAUUUUUUUGUGAUUUAGAUAAUUAAUUAUCUUCUUAAGAAUCAAUAAAAUUAAUUUUUUUAUGAUCAAAUACAGGUUGUAUGGAGAUUUUGUUCUAUUUUUCUAUAGACUAAAGAUAAUGUAGGAUUUUUUGCUUCUUUAGUUGAUUAAGACUUUUGAAUCUUUUAACUAUGGCCUAUCAAGUAAUGAAAAAAAAGAAUCCUUUGAUAUAUACAUUCAAAUGACAUGAUAUGUCUAGAAAUGUUUUUCUCCAUCAAUUCAAGUCUUACAAUUUUUUAUUUGGUCUAUUGAAAUAGAUGGGAUUUGAUUUAUUAUUUUGAUAACAAAUGAAGAUAUGCUAGUGACAAUCAAUCUUAUUUUUUCUAUGAUUUGAAAGGACAUAAUGUUCAAUCUACUUCCACCAUCUACUAUAAUAUAGGAUAUUAUUUUGUCCACAAUAGAAACCUCAAUUUUUAUUACUUUCACCAGUCAAGGACAAGAACUUGAUGAAAAAAUAAUUCAGACAAGUGAGCCUUCACUCAAAGAGAGGUAACAAAAUAUAUAUAAACAAGUAUAUAUAUUAAAAGAAAAACUGGAAUGGUUAUUGCCAAAAGACAAGAAAACUAGAGACCCUUGAAAGUAGACUAGAAGCAAGAAAGGAGUUGACAAGAGUGAAGAAGCCUUCACUCUUGUCUCUAUAUAUACUAUCUAACUAGGGGCUAUGUGGCGACGUUCUAUAGGACCUCCAAUAUGUGUUGACUUUGUAGGACACAUGCCUUGACUUACAAGGCUAGUUUUUCUACAUGUGGGCCACAUAGUUAGCUUGACCUUCAAGCUAACAACAUAUGUCGCACAUGGCCAACUUGUUGACCACGUUUCUAAUCCAAAAAAUCAAUUAAAGACACCUAUGAAGUCAAAGCAGCCUCUAGGAAGCUUCUAAGAAGCUUCUAAGAAGCUUUCAUAUUAAAUAUUAUAGAAUUAACUUACUUUUACCUACUUUUAUUUACUUCUACCUUUUUGUAUAUGUAAUUAUUAGCUUACAUGAUUAUGGCCAUGACAUUACUCCCCCUUCUAGAGACAAGUUCCACUAAGAGUGGUCAUCAUAUGUUGAGGAAAUCUAUGAUGCGACGAAUUGUAUUCGCCACAUACUUUGAUCUCUGUUCUCUUCGAAGAUGAUUGAUAGGGCCUCUCAAUCAUCGGUAGUGUCCCAUACCAGGGCAGGAAGACUACCCAAUUAUUUGAUCAUUGUUGAGGCCUUCGUAUCUUCCUUCAAAUAGAAUAUUUGGAACACCAUCAGGAGUUGUUCCUACCUCUAGCAAAAUCACCAAACAUCGGGAGUCCCUUCCCAAAUUGUGAUAUCAAAUGCAUUAUAUCUCACCAUCUAUUCGAAGAAGAGCAUGUCGUUCUUGAAGAUCUUCAUCUCGAUUGCGUCGACUUGAAGGUUGUGACAAUCGUAAUGUCUCGUCCGGCAGGUCAGCAAAUGAAGGCUCUUGAGUUGAAUCCGCUAGUUGUUGGUUCUCCAUCUCUUGAGCGCCACUACUACAAUGAAGCUACGAACAAGAAUUGAAAGUAGAAUGUUAUCUUGCCUAGAUGUUGUUUCUUUUAUAAAAAAGGUUUUCAUCUUGAUUUUGAUGGAUGUCGUCGAUGUAAAGCCUCCACCACCUUUGCUGCAUUUGCAAGAUUCUUUAUUGGCUCUCAUGUACGUUCACUAAUACCAUAUUCGUGCCAAUGGACAAGAUAUUCUAAUUUAUUUUGGUGUCGCGUUGAAUCUAAGACUUCUAAUACUUCAAACUCUUUAUUAUUGUCCACUUUUAUAGGAGGAGGUGGAGCUUGUUGUCUUCUUGGUAUGUCCACUGUCUUGUAUGGUUCAAGAAGAGACACGUGGAAUACUCGAUGGAUUUUCAUUGACUCCGGUAGAUAUAAACGAUAUGCAACUGGAUUGAUUUGUGCAGAAAUAGAAAAUGGUCCCAGCCUUCGAUAGUCCAACUUGUCACAAGGACGAGUGGUCUUGAUAUUGUGACAAAGUAGCCAUACCUUAUCACCCAAGAUGAAUGAUGGUUGUUCCUUUCGAUAGACAUCCGCAUUGGCCUUUUGUUGUUCUUUAGCUUCUUUUAACUACGCCUUCAUCGUUGCAUGUAGCUCUGAUAAAUGAAUUGCCAAAUCUUUCGCAGCAGGAUUAUCAACUUUUGAAAAGUCAAAAGUAUUAAGUCGUGGAUGAUAACCAUAAUUAGCAAAAAAAGGUGUUUGUUUUGUAGAAGAGUGUACCGUGUUAUUGUAAGCAAACUCUCCCAAUGGCAAAAGAGUUGUCCAAUCAUUUUGUUGGUAGUUAAUGGUACAUCUUAAAUAUUACUCUAAAACUUGAUUAACACGCUCCGUUUGUCCAUCAGUUUGAGGAUGGAAUGCCGAAGAUAGUUUUAUAUCCACUUUAAGAAUCUUGAAAAGAGUCCGCCAAAAUCUUGAUACAAAUUGAGUUUUCCUAUCUGAUAUAAUAUCCUUGGGUAAUCCAUGAUAUCGAUAGAUAUUGUCAAGAAAGAGCUUAGCUGUUUCUUCACCUGUGAUAGAUUUUGUACAUGGUACAAAAUGUACCAUCUUGGUAAAACGAUCUACUAUCACGAAUAUAGAGUCAUAAGAACCUGAGAUUGAAAGAUCCAUGAUGAACUCUAUAGAAAUAGAAGACCAUGGUUGUUCUGGAAUGGGUAAUGGCUGAAGAAGUCCAAAAGGUCGAUGACGAGGAGUUUUCGAUCUUCAACAAACUUCACAUGAUUGUACAAAAUCUUUAACUGCCUUCCACAUUUGAAGCCACCAAAAAUCCCUAGAUAUCAGCUCCAAAGUCUUAUUAUAUCUAAAAUGUCCUGCUACUGGGAAGUUGUAACGAGCUUGAACAACACAUAAAGGAGCUUCUCGUUCUAGAACAUAUAGGCGUCCUUCAAAAUAGAGUAGGUUGUUCUUGUAUUCAAAUUUAGAUGGAUCAUGAGAUUUAGAAGAAUUGUUCUUGAUAUCAUGAACAAGAGGGUCUGAAGACAUACUUAAUUGGACUUGCUUAAAGAAAGUUAAAUCAAUAGUCAAUGUUGAUUUUAUUGCUCGAAGAUGAAAUUAUUCCGGCUUCAAGAGAACCGUUCUUUAUUGCUCAAAAGCUGCAACUCCUUCUUUUGGUGCAAGAUAAGAACGUCUAGACAAGGUAUCGGACAAACCUUGGUAUUUUUCUGGCCGAUAAGUGAUGAUGAACUCGAAUCUUGAUAAAGACAUGCUCCAAUGAGCUUGGCAACGAUUUAAUACGUGUGCUGACAUAAAAUAUUCGAGGUUCUUGUGAUCCGUAUACACGGUGAGUGGACUAGAAGCGCCUUCUAGAUAAUAACGCCAUUCUUGAAAAGAAUCCACAAUUGCAAGAAGUUCUUUGUCGUGGAUCUCAUAAUUGAUUUUUGCUGCUGAGAAUUUUCUUGAAUGAAAGGCUACUGCAUGAAGUUUGUCAUCUGUUUCCAUUUGUGAUAAAAUCGCACCCAGAGCAAAGUGUGAUGCAUCUGUUUCCAUAAAGAAUGCUUUGGAAAAAUCAACACGAUACAAGAUUGGUGCAAAAAUAAACGCUGUCUUCAAAGAUUCAAAAGCAACUUCUGCUUCUUGAUUCCAUUGGAGUUUGUCUUUAUAAGUCAAAUGUGUAAGUGGAGCUGCAACUUGAGAGAAGUCUUUAAUGAAGAUCCGAAAGUAGUUGGCAAAUCUCAAAAAACAUUGGACAUCUCUUACCGUUUUUAGGAUCUUCCAGUCUAUAAUAGUUUGAACUUUCUUAGGAUCCAUCACAAGUCCAUCAUUUGAAAUGAUGUAACCUAAGAAAUCGACUUGAGUAGUGUGGAAUACACACUUUUCUAUCUUGGCAUAGAGUCCUGCAUCUCUUAAUUUUUGUAACACAUGACGAACAUGAAGUUCAUGUUCUUUUGGAUUCUUAGAAUAGAUCAAGAUGUCGUCUAGAUAACAUACCACAAAAUCGUCCUAAAACUCUCAAAAAACAUCAUUCAUUAAAUGUUGAAAAGCUGCUGGUGCAUUUGUAAGUCCAAAAGGUAUGAUGUUGUAUUCAAAAUAUCCAUACCUAGUUCGAAACACAGUCUUCCAUUCAUCUCAUUCUUUGAUGUGUACUAGAUUGUAUGCUCCUCGAAGAUCUAUUUUUGUAUAGAUCUUAGCUUGAUUCAGCUGAUCAAGAAGUCCAGAUAUUAAAGGUAGUGAAUACCUGUUUUUGAUGGUAAUCUUGUUGAGUCCUUGAUAAUCAACACACAUCCGCAAUGAUCCAUCUUUUUUCUUCACAAAUAGAAUUGGAGCUCCUAUCGGAGAUUUAGAAUGGCAUAUGAAAUUCUUGGCUAGAUUUUCUUCAAUAUACUCCUUGAGUUCAACCAACUCAUUUUGUGAUAAACUAUAGAUUGGUCCGAAUGGUGGUUGUUCUCCUUCUUGAAGGUCAAUUGAGUAAUCAUAGGGACGAUGUUCCGGGAGUGUAUCCACAUUUUUUUUUUCGAAUACAUCUUGAAAUUCUUGAUAUUGGCUUGGAAUGCCACUUGAAGUCUUUUCACCAGUAAAAACGGGUGUAGCAUAAAUAAUGUAUGGUGAUUCUUUCAUAGCAGCAUGCAAGAAAGCUUUUGCACCUAUAUAUAGAGGUUUAAUUGAACUGGACUUAUGACUCUCUACUUGUUUAACUACACUGUUAGUUAUACUUUCAAAGAAAAUGAGAGUUCGGGAAAUCUAGUCUAUUUGAGGGUUGUAUUUUCUAACCACGAUAAACCUAAAAUGACUGGAUUAGAGGGAGAUCUAAUGAUAUUAAAUACUACAAAACUAUUAUGACCAUUGAUUAUUACUUCUAUAGGAAGGGUUUCAUGAGUAAUAUCUCCAGAAGACAAUGGACGACCAUCUAUGACUUCUACAUGAACAGGUUUAGUUUUCUUUACUAAAGAUAUGCUAUGUCUUUUAGUAAAUUCUUCAUCUAAAAAAUACGAUGAGGCUCUUGAAUCUAAUAAGGGAGAGACUUUGUAAUAUUUAGGUCCUAAAAUAACAUUUAAUGUAAAACAAGGAGAGAGCUCUGAGGAGAGAAUAAGACCUUUACUAGAAGUUGUGCAAGGUUCCAGGUGCACGGUCUUUAUUGUAGCUAGACAGACUCGUUUUCUGACAUAUUAUCUUCUUUCACAGCCAUACUCCUCAUUUUGUGAUUGCGUCGUUUCUUUGGACAAUGUUGAGUAGUGUGGUUUGGUUCUCCACAAUAUAAACAUAAUCCUUCUUGACGACAACAAGUCUUUUCUUGCUCAGUAAGAGAUUUGAAACGUACUGCAUCAAUUUGCAUAUCCUCUACUUCCAAAUGUAUGUGUUGAAGAGAUGUUGGUGUUGCCAUUGAAUUAUAGUAACGUUGAGGUCCACUUGUACGGUUCUCAGAUCAAAAUUCAAAAAGGCGAUUGUCGCACUUCACAGCAAAGUCAAUUGCUUGACUCAAUGUUUGAGGAUCAGGUAAGUUGAGCAUUAAUUUUUUUACCUCAUAUUAUAAUCCAUAGAGAAAUUGGCUAAUAAGUGCAGCAUCAUCCUACAUGAUAUCAGUUGCAAGUUGUUGAAAUUGUGAAGCAUAUAACGUUACUGAUCAAUUACCUUGUCGUAAAAUAUGGAUCUUAUUGGUUGCAACACGAAUUGCAUCAUGUUCUCCAUACAUGGAUCAAAAUUCCACCAAAAAAGCCUCUAGAUUAUCCAAUAUUGGAUCUCGUCAUUCAAGAAAAGAUGAAAACCACGAUAGUGUCGAACCUGAAAGAAGCAUACCAAUGAAUCUAACUUGUGAUCUUGGAGUUGGAUAGCUUUGGGGUUGAAGUUCAAUCACAAGUUGCACUUGAUUAAUAAAUCCUCGAAACUUGGAUUUGGUGCCAUCAAACUUCUCGGGUAGGGCAAUUCUUGAUUCUCUAACAUUUGAAGGGCGUUCCACCAUAGGAAAAAGGACAUGGUUUGGUGCAUAUGUUGAAGUAGCUCCAACCAUUUCUAUAUCUUCACUUCCUGCCAAUCUUGUUGCUCCUUGUGGUGGUAAAUUGAGUUGAUGCAUUGCAAGCAUUAACUCCCUCAAUUGCUCUUGCAUUUGUGCCAUUGCACUCUUUAUUUCAAGAAGUUCUGCCAUGAUAACACUUAGAAUAGAGAAGAUGUCUAAUAUCGCUCAAGACAAAUAGAAGAGAGGACUUGCGGACAAAGAAAAUACUAAGGACAAUAUCAGUUUAGAAGAGGGUAAUCUGCAACUUCUAAUGUGCUUAUAUCUUAUCAAGAAAAAAGGGUAAUCCACUUUUAAUCAAGAUUAGGCAAAGCUCUGAUAUUGUAGGUGUACUCUUGUCAAUCUGUCAAGGACAAGAACUCGAUGAAAAAAUAAUUCAGACAAGUGAGGCUUCACUUAAAGAGAAGUAACAAAAUAUAUAUAAAUAAGUAUAUAUAUUGAAAGAGAAACUGGAAUGGCUAUUGCCAAAAGACAAGAAAACUAGAGACCCUUGAAACUAGACUAGAAGCAAGAAAUGAGUUGACAAGAGUGAAGAAGCCUUCACUCUUGUCUCUAUAUAUACUAUCUAAUUAGGGGCUACGUGGCGACGUUCUAUAGGACCUCCAAUAUAUGUUGACUUUGUAGGACACAUGCCUUGACUUACAAGGCAAGUUUUUCUACGUGUGGGCCACAUAGUUAGCUUGAUCUUCAAGCUAACAUGUAUGGUACAUGGCCAACUUGUUGACCACGUUUCUAAUCCAAAAAGUCAAUUAAAGACACCUAUGAAGUCAAAGCAGCCUCUACGAAGCUUCUAUGAAGCUUCUAUAUUAAGUAUUAUAGAAUUAAUUUACUUUUACCUACUUUUACUUACUUCUACCUAUUUGUAUAUGUAAUUAUUAGCUUACAUGAUUAUGGCCGUGACAUCACCUCACUUCAUAUAAUAAAAGCAACUAUUUUUUUUGCCAUUCUAAACUUAAGCCUUCUUUGAUUUUUCAUAGAAAUGUAAUUUUAAAUGCCUUCUUAACUAUUAGAAUAUUUUUCAAUAAUUAAACAAAGGUGAUAUUAAUCUUUAACUUACUAAGAUCAUCUCAUAAAUUAUAUUCUUGUGUAGGAUUCUUCCACAUUCUUGUGUUAUUAGAGAACUUCAAAUGUAGAAAUUUUGGGAUCCUCCUAACUAUGAUUGUUUAGAUUAAUAUUUGGCUUGUGUUUAAUUUUAAGAUUUUGAAAGAAUAGUUCUUCUAUGAAAGGACCAAAUUUCACAGAUUCAAAUGUAUUAUUUUAUGUUAACUUAAUUAUGUCCUUCUUGACUUGUUCUAGAUUUAAAAAACAAGGUAGAUUCUUUGAGACAAUACUCUUUUUUUUUGAUGAAUAGAUAAAGAUGCAGCUCUAAAUCUAAAUAUUACUAUUAAAGCUUGUAUCACAUGUAGGUUAUUUUUCCUUUAUUGAUUUUUUUUAAAGGUUUUUGAAUUCAAUUCAUGGAAAAAGGCUUGAUUGGCAUUAGGCUAGGGGAGAUUUGAAUAUAUUUCAACUCUUUUAUGGAUUGAGAUACAAAUUUCAUAUUAUGAAAUCUUUAGCCAUAUUUUGGUAGAUUAGAAGGAUUUUAAUCUUAAGGUUGAUAUUGAUAAAGAUUUAAUAGAAUAAAUCUAAAAUUAAUUUGAAGUCCAUUAGGUACAUUCAGGAUAUGUCUAUUAUUUUUAUAGUCAUAAUAUAAGUUUAGAGGCCCCAAUUUAUUGUUUGUUGGAGGUUGUCUUACUCCAUAAUUAUCAAAUGAUUGUUGAAUAUAACUACCAGGUAGAGGUUGUAAGAAAACCAUUCUAUUUGGUUUUCUAUAAAACUCCAUAAGAUGGUUACAACAACAAUUUCUAUACUCCACUUGCUCUUCAAUCCAAUAUUGAUCAAGUCAAUAUUUUUUUUGUAAAAUGUGUAGAAGUCUAUUUAUUAUUUAGCUUAACUUCUAAGAUAUUUGUUCUUAGAAUUAAAUCCUUAUUGCCUCAAAUUACAUCCUUGGUAGGAUUGAUUUUUGUAUGGAAAGACAUGGUUAGAAAUAUUAGUUUUGUAGAAGUAUGAGAUAGUAAAAUUAGACAAAAUAUCCUAACUAUCUACAUUGAAUAUAUUAUAAUCUUAUUAUAUGUCUUUUUGACUCAAUAGAAGUAGGAGAGGAUUGAAAUUGGAAUUUCUAGCUAAUCCAAUUAAUUUUUUUAUCAUCAACUUCAUUUGAUGAAAGCCUUGGAUUUAAAAUUUUAACUGAAAUACUUUCAUCUAUUUUUUUAAAUCCUCUUUUUACCUAUUAUUUUCAAUAGGAUAUGUCAAGGCUAAUGAUAAAGUUUGAGGCCUAAUAUUUAAAGAUAAAAAAUAAGCUCCUAUAGUUGUAGAAAUCAAUGGCAAUUGUUCAUGCAUCUAAGAGCUUGAUGCAACAAGAAUCUUAGCAUAUAUAGAUAGAUAUGAAGCUAAAGAUAUUAUGUUCUUCUUUAUGCCACAAUCUUUCAUGCUCUUUAUUUAUUUAUUCUACUUCUUUUACCACAUGUUUGGUUGCUAUAUGGUCUUUAAGGCAUGUAUGGAGGAUUUCUUUCAUAAUUUGUUUAAGUAAAUUUUUGAUUAAAAAAAUACUUUAAAGUAUCAUUCAUGAAUGUGAGCAAAAUUAAUAGCUCCAAUGGUUAGUUAUAAUCAAUUUUUUGAUUUUUAACAUAUUUUUACUAAUAUUAAUGCUAAUAUAAUUAACUUAUAGAUUCAAAUUAGUUUUUUAGUUGAUUAUGAAUUUAUUCAUAUUUUUAGAUUAUUAAUUAAGUAGAUAAUUCUAAUUAUUAGAUUGAGUGAUUUUUUAAAAUUCUAAAAAUAUUAAGUUUAGAUGUCUAUAAUUUCUUUUUUUUGAUCUGAUUUAAAUCCUCAUUUAAUACUAAAAUUAGAAUUUUAGUAGAAUUUUUCUUUUAAGUCUUAAAAAUUAUAUCUUGAAUUAAUCCACAAUCUUAGUUUUCAAUCCUAAGGCUAAUUUCUAAUUUGACUUUGGUUAAAAAAUCCCUUAAGACUAGUUGUUCUAUCUUCCUAUUUAAUUUUAAGAUUUUUUAAGCUUAAAUUUCAUGCCACAAUUUAAAUGGAUUAAAAAUAUAAAGUCUAAUUGUUAAAUUAAUGAUGAUUUCUAGAAGAUGGAGGUGAGCUAAUUGUUGUAGUGGAAUUCCUCUCUUAGUAAUUUUAAUCACUAUUUGGAAUUGAAAAUUGGAGAAAAAGAAAAAAAAUCAUAAGUGUAUUAAUUCAAGGCCAAAUUGUAAUUGGAUCUUGGAUUUGCUAAGGGUUCAUGUUUAAGGAAGUUUAAAUUGAAGAAUAGUGAUCAUGAUGGCUUUGAUGGCAAGAAUCCUUGCUGAUCUCCAAUUAGAUUGAAUAAAAUUAGAAUUAUAGUUGGAUUUUAUAACUAAAUUAGCAAAUUAAUUAAUUUUUAUGAUUUAGAACUUGGAUUUGGACUUAUGAAUAGUCAACUUUAGAAUGAAAAUAUGUUUUAAAAAAAAUGGUGGUGUUAGUUUUUCCAAAAAGGUGUUAAUUUUUGAGUUAUAGGAAUUUUCAGCCUUAAAAUCGGAUUUAGGCUUAGAGUGAUUGUAGACCCUUGAUCUUCGUUAGGAAUUUUUUUGAUUUGACUGGUAGAGAUGUGGCUGCCACCUUUGGACCUCCUCCCACUUGGUUAAGAGGGCUUGGAUGGCCGAGCUCCCUUUCUUUUUUCUCCCUUUUGUAAGGCGAAGCUCUGCCAAAUUGUUUUUAGGAUUUUAAUUGAAGGAAUCUUUUCCUACCUUCUCACUAUCUUGGUAUUUUUUUCCUCUCAAUCACUCAAUAAUUUAUGCUUUUGAGUAAUAUUUAAUACUCAUAUUUUUCUAAUUAUUAGCUUUUCUAUGAUGCAAGCUACGAGUAAUUUGAAGCUUGGACGAAUUUUUGGCAAAUUUUCAAGUGGCAGGGGGACUAUUGCCCUUGGCAACGUGGGAGUAUCAACUUUGAAAAUUUGUAACUUGAUGAUCUCUAAUUCAAUUUUAAUAUAAUUUAAUAUUAUGAAUAUAAUUUAAAUUUUAAUUUAUUAAAAAAUUUGAAUUACUAACUUUCAAAUUAUAACAAAUUUUUGAUGAUUUUUAGAGUGAGGAAAAAUCUACUACUUUAGUAGCUUAGAGCAAUUAACUUUGGAAAAACGUAGCUUAAUACAUAGUGAUGUUUUGUCAUUGAAUUGUAUUUUGAAAAAAAACUUGCUAAGUUUUGUUUUAGGAAAAAUUAGAUUAUUUAACCUUAAAUCACUAACCAACUUUUAGUGAAUUUUUAAAUAAAAAAGGUUUGCUGCUAAGGCAGCUCAAAUGACUCUACUUGGAAAAAAUCAUAUUUCAAGCAUUUCGGAUUGGAUUGCCACAAGAUUUAAAAAGAUAGAAGUAUAUUAGAGUUAACUUAGAUCACAUCAUAAUUCACAUACAUUGGAGGCUUAGAAAAUAUUUGGUGAAUUUUUGAGUGGCAAAGGUGGCUAUAACUUGACAUAAUUAAGGUUUGUUAUUGUUUUACUCUCUAAUCAUCUUCUAAUAACAUUCUUUUAGCACCUAAUUUAUUAUAUUAGUUUUUAUUUGUCUUAUUAUUUUUAUUUAAUAUUAUUUAAUAAUUUUUAAGAACUUUUUCCUCAUUCCAAUAAUUAAUGGUAAAGUUUUAUCUUUUCAUCCAUAUUUAUCUUUAAAAGAUAAAAGAAAAAAUUAAUCUUAUCUUUUUAUUUUCAAAUUUUAUUUUUAAUUUUAAUUUAUAAUUUAUAAUUUUUAUCUUCAACUUUUAUUGUGGUUAUUUUAAACUCUUUACUUGACUUUUAGUUAUCAAUUUUAUUUUAUUUUAUUUUAUUUUAUUUUUUAUUCAUAAAUUUCUGAAUUUAAGCUUGAUUAAAUAAACCUUAGAAGGAAAUUAACUUAUUAGACUAUAACAUGUAAGAAAUUAUAAAAAUUAUAUACUUACCUUAUUAUAUUUGAUUGAAUUAAUUGUGAUUAUUAUAUCAUUUAUUUAUUUAUUUAUUUAUUUAAUAUUUUUAUGGUUUAAGUGUUCAUAUUGGUUAAUAUUGAAUUUUAAUCUAAGUUAUAAUAGAAUCAGAUUGAACUUAAGUGAGGGGAGAAAAAAUUGCUCACAAUGAGCAAGCAUCCUACAAACUUUGUCACCACUAAUUCAAAAUGACAAAUAUACAAUAUAAUUUCUUUAUAUUUUUUUAAUUUAAAGAAAGAUAAAAUAAUUAAGACCAUAUUUUGCCUUAUUUUAGGUUAAAAUUUUUCUAGGAAAGCUCAUUGGAUUGUAUCCCAAGUUAAGAAGGUAUAACGAGGAUAGUUGUAAUAUUACUUAUAUGCCUCCAUUUUUUUAACUUGGUUGGAAACCACAUUAAAUAAUAAUAGCUAUUUGUUAUCAAACAUGUAGUGAGUUUUUUUAUAAAAUACUUUAUAUGGACCAAAAGAUCCUCAUUUCUUGUAUCUCUAAAGGUUGAAAGAUUAGAAGACAUAAGGAUAGGAGUGAGUCCCUCUGAAACUCAAAUAGAUAAACUUCUUAAUUGAACUAAGCAAUUAAUUGGUAUAGAUGGUAGUUCUUUACUUUCUACUCUAUUUAGAUCUAUUUUCUUUGGUGGUUGAAAUAAAUGAGCACUUUCUUGAUCCAAAUUACUUGUAUUAUCUAUCAAAAGAUUUAAAAAUAAGCUUCAUGAAUCUUUUGAAGAUCUUUCAAAAAAAAGAUCUUUAAAUUCUUCAAAGAGAUUUCUAAGAAUUGUCAUGUUAUAGUUUGGCUACUAUAUGAAAAUAUUGUGUUUAUAUAUUUGAUAUAUAAUUUAUUAAGUAACAUGAUGAGAGUCAUAUUAGUAGAUUUUAAUUGAUUAUAGAAUAUAAUUAGAUUAUUACUUUAAAAGGAGGUUAUUUAAAAGAACUACUAUUAGUAUUUAAAUAACUUUUUUUUCUUUUGAUAGUAGCUUUUAAGAUUAAUUUUGGUUGAUAAUAAAUUUUACAUAUUUAAAGUCACUUUUGAUAGACAUUGGUGACCAUUAAAGACUUAUUUCGUUUCUUUUAUUUGAUAUUUAAGAUAUAUAUUAUGUAAAACUUAUUAGAAAAAGGAAUGAAAAAAAAUCUUGAUAGCAAAAAAAAAAAGUUAAGACAUCUAUAUGGAUGAAUGGAGAUAGAUGAUAAAAAUCUCCAUUCCUAUUGGCCAAAAAUCAUGCUCAAUAGAUUUUAAAGAGGCUUCUAGAGGCCUUAUUAGAGAUUAGGAAUUAAGAUUACUCAUUUGAAACCAUUUGAACUUUAAAAGCUAGGAUUAGUAAGUUCAAGGUUUUGGCUAUGAUUUUAGUGCAAAUUUUAGAUGAUUUGGAGUUUUUAUAAGAAAGAUAUAGAUACUCAAAGUUAGGAUGUAGGUUUUGUACCUAGUGUCACUCUUUUGGAUAUAACAUGUGCAUUCAAAAAGUAAUGAAGGAUUGGUGAAUGGAGUUGAAGAGAUUUUUUAUUUUUUUAUUUUAUUACACUUUUUGUAUAUUGCUUGAUGAAUUCUAAACUAAGAUAAAGGAGUUAUAGGAAGUUGAAGUUAGUGCUUACAAUCUAAGGGUAGUAAAUAAUCUGAUUUACUAGUGGUUUUAUUUUGAGCUAUGUCAUGAGCAAUUUGAUAAGAUUUUGGCUAAUUUUUUCUUGAAAUAUGUAUAAUUAUAUUAAUAAAAUUUGUACAUAAAUUUUGUAGCAUUUUAAUUUUGGAUUUUUGAGAUAUGAAGAAAAUAGUGCUCAGGUACUUGUAAUUUAGAAUUUAGAACACCUAUUAGGAUUUCUAAGAUGCCAAAAGAUUGGUAGCAAAUUUGUAGUUCAUUUUUUUUGAAGUUAAGCUUAAAGAUAAUAAAAGUACUAUUUAAAAAUUUUAAAAAAAUUGAAAAAUUGAAUUAAGAGGUACAAGAUUUUAAAAUUUGAAGGAAAAAAAAUUGAAAGGAUUUUACUAUAUUUUGAAUAUUUAUGCAAAAUAAAAGGAUUUUUGAAAGCUAAGACUUGUAUAUAAGUUUAAAAUGGAAUAAAUCACUUAUUAGAGCUUAGGCAAGAAGUUAAAACUAAACUCUCUAUAGCUAGAUAUCUCGUGUAUUUUCUAAUUGCAAAUUAUACCAUAGAAUACCAUAUUUAAAUUUAAUCUAAGACUUGAAGUCCAAAUGUUUGGCAAUGAAGUUCUUACAGUUUUAAAGCAUUUUAGAUUUUUCAAAGGUUGUACAAAUAUAAGUUUAUAGAACCUAGUAGAGAGCUGCAUUAAAUUUCUACGUUUACAAUAUUAUUUUUAAAAGUCAAAAACUAAAAUAAUUAAAAUAAGCUAAUUAAAGUAAUUUAUAGAAUUUAAUUUUUUAUUAUCUUCUAUUCAUCAACUUGCAUCCUACUUAAAUAUUUUUUUUGAUAAAAAAGAAAAUAAAAAAAAAUAAUCUUAGAAAAGAAUACUUAUUUGAGUACCAUCUUAAGCAAGGCUUUUUUAUUCUUAGAAUAUUAUAUGGAACUACCUUAUGCAGAAGUAAUCCUAAGCAAUAUCUAAUAUAAAGGCAUUGCUUUGCCAUAAAAGAGCCUAAAUUCUCUACUUUUUCUAUUCUUUAUACUAAUAUAAUUAAGAAAUUAUCUAAUAUUUGAUUAAUAAUAGAAUAUAUUAGAUAAAAGUAUUUUUUACAUACAUCAAUCUAAUUUGAAAGAAAAUUUAUUUGACUGCAUUGCCAACCACCAUGUUACUUCUUUAUAAAUCACUACAAAAAUAUUCUAAAUAUUUUUUUAAUUGAUUGUAAAGUAGAUUUAAAGAAUAGAAUCAUAUUUGAAGGUUCUAACUUACUUUAUUACAUUUGAGUCUUAGAAGAGAAGAUGAAUAAUUAUCUCUCUUAUUUUUUUAUUUUUUUUCCUAGGUUCUAUCCUCCAACUCUUUACUCUUUAUUCUAAGUGUAUGCACUAAAAUUUUAAUAAUUUAAAUUAUUCAAAAAUCAAAGGAUUUAUUUGAUUUUAUGCCUUUUAAGUAACAAGUAUUUCCAAGUAACUCAUUGUUUUUCAAUCCACAAUCUGUGUUAAUUAAAUAAUAUAAAUAAAAGCUUUAAUAAUUAUUUUAAGAAAACUUACAUUAAAGUGUAGUCUUUCAAAUUUAUAUUUGUAUUUCUUCUUCUUUUUUUUUUACUUAUAUUUCUUCUUUUUUUUUCUUCUUUUCUUUCCAAUAUUUUUUUUAAAUUGUUAAUGAAGUAAUUUUUGAAUUGUUAUUGAAGAAUUUGUUUCCAUACUACACCUAUGAAUAGGAAGGAUGUAAUAGGUGGAGAGGGUCAUUAAAUUCCUAUACCAUUAGAAAUUGCGACCAACCGGAAAUCGGCCCCANNNNNNNNNNNNNNNNNNNNNNNNNNNNNNNNNNNNNNNNNNNNNNNNNNNNNNNNNNNNNNNNNNNNNNNNNNNNNNNNNNNNNNNNNNNNNNNNNNNNAAUUAGAUGAAAAGAAGAGAUAUAAAGAGUAUAGAGGGUGAUUAAAUCCUUUCAAGUAUUAGAGAUGGAUCCUCAAUAAGAAUCACAAGGGAGAGAAGUGAUGACUAGAUUGAAAGAAGAGCUCCACCUUUCAUGAAGAUCCUUGUCCAAUCCUAAUUUAAUUCUAAUUCUUAAAAUAAUUCUAAAUUCUUAAUUAAGCUUCUUACUUUUCUACCUUAGAUUCUUCAUCCUUCUUCUUCAAUCUAAAUUCUUAUACAAUAGUACUAAAAUCUUGUACUAGACCAAAAUAAAAAAAGAAUAAAAAAUAAAAUAGAAUAAGAUAUUAAAAUAUUUUUUUUCAAAUAAUUUUAAGACUUAUAGAAUAAAUCUCUCACCAAAUGCAUCAAAAUAUGAGCUAAAAUAAAUCUCUAUCAGUUGAAAGUUUAUUUUAGAUCACAACAAGUAAAUUAAUCUUAGAAGUUUUAUUUCUUAUUUAAAUUCUAAUUAAUUCACUCUUUCUUCUUAAAUAAUUCAAUUAAUCAAGCUUAAGUUCUAUUAUUAAUUCAUAUUUAUAAUAAUAAAUCAUUCAUAAAAUACAUGCUCAAAUAAGUUUCUUUUCUUAAUUUUUAAUUUAUUUAUAUGUAUAUAUAUAUAUAUAUAUAUAUAUAUAUAUAUAUAUAUAUAUAUAAUCUUUUAUAUUUUAUUAUAUUUUAAUUUUUUUAUAUAUGAUAUUUUAUUAUUUUAUUUUAAUUAAAAUUUAUUUAUUAAAAAAUUUAUCUAAUUAUAAAUUAUUAUUUAUAAAUAUUUUUUUAUUUAUAAAUAAUUCUUUUAACCAUUUUUGAAUUCAACCUUCAUUAAAACUUCAUUCUUUAAUUAAUUCUCAACUGAUACAAAAAUUCAUUCAAUCCUAACCUAAGUUCAUUUCUACUAUCAUAGUUUAUUCAAUCAUAAUUUAUCUAUCUAAACUAAUCUUCUUUGAAAUUCUUACGGAGAAGAAGAUGAUACAGCUUGUGAUCUGUUCCAUGUUGCAAUACCCCCAUAGUAUUACAACAAUAAAUUCUUGUUUUUUAUUUAUUUCAAUUACUAAGUUUUACUUGUUUGCAAAGAGAGUUUGAUUUUUCCAAUGUUAUUGAUUUCUACUAGAGCUUCUUGCACUCUAUUCUUAACUUUCAACAAGUCAAAUGUAGUAUUAUUGUUAAAUCCUUGACCUACUCAUCUUUUGUUGCUUGAAGGCUGCCUACUUAACAACUUCAAGAUUCCACCCUUCAAGUACUUUUGCAAUUUGAAGUCACUACCAAGAGAGAAAUCAUUGCAAUAAGUGCAGACCUCAGUAAAUCAAAUCAUAGUUUAUAGUCAUAUGCCUUCAAUUACAAGAAUCUAAAUUCUACUUGAAAUUUAAUAGGCAUUGAAAAAUGCCUUUUUAUAAAAACAUUGUAUUUACUUGGGCUUAUUUGUCAAAGACAUACAUAUUUACUUGGGCUUAUUUGUCAAAGACAUACAUAUUUACUUUGAUAUUUAUUUAUAUGAUUAAAUAGAAGUAGAUAAAAGUAGAUUUAUUUCAUAAUAAUUUCUAUAAAAGCUUUCUAAAAUCUUUAUAGAUGCUACUUUGACUUUACUUGUGUUUAUAAUUGAUUGAUAGAUUAGAAACUUAAUCAAGAAGUUAAUCACAUAUUGAUAGCCUACAAAAUAAGCUAAUUUUAUAGCGCAUAUAUAAAAAACUUAUCUUACAAGUUAAAACAUGUAUCUAACAAAGUUAAUACAUGUUAGAGUUUCUAUAAAAUAUUGCUGUAGAGCUCCUAGUUAAGAUUAUAUAUAGAGGCAAGAAUGAAGCCUUCACUCUUAUCAAUGCUUUUUUAGUGCUUGGUCUUAUUAUAAGACUUUUUAGUCUUUUUUUCAUUGAGAAUAGCCAUUCUAAUUUAAUAAUAUAUUAUUUUUGAAUAAUUUUUUAGUCUUUUCGAGAAACACAAGAGUAUAUUGAUAUUUUACUUCUUUGAGUUUCAUGUCCUUGAUAGUUUGAUAAGAGUGAAGACUUAUUAUUCUUAUCUUAUUUUAGAAGUGAGUGGAUUAUCUCAUUUUUAUUAUUAUAUUUUAAAAAUAGCACAUUAUUUACUUUUAAACAAAUUAUCUAAUUUUCUAUCAUUGAUUUUUUUCUUAAAGAGAGCGGAUUAUCUUUCCUUUAUAGAAAUUUUCAUUAGACAUUAGAGGUUGGAGAUUACUCUCUUCUAAUUUGAUUUAUAGAUUUGUGAGGUUAUUUGAAAUGGAAGAAAAAAUUAUGUAUGCUAUACUUUAUAGAGAUAAGAAUAGAUUUACAACUAUUACAAACCUUUACAAACUUAAGAUUUAGGGUGGAAAUUUCAUGCAUCACCAACACCAACUAAAGAAAUACUAAUCCUAAGUCUAUGGAAGAAAUUUAAAAUUUGUCUCAAAAAGUUUUGUAGUUGAAGGAAGCAAUUAUAUUAACUUCACAAACAAAUUUAAGAAUUUUUAUUUUUACAAGUAUAAUAAGAAUAAAGAUAUAUAUCUCCAAACAGCUUAAUGGAAUAAGCUAAAAAAUUUGGAGAUUUUUACAACAAAUCAAGCUCUAUCUAAGAUUGCAUUCUUUCUAAUACUCUCAUGGAUUUACUCAAGUUGAAUUCAUAGCUACACUUCUAUCUCGAAGUGCUCUCUCUUGCUUUACAUCUUUGAUAGAAAAAAAUUCAUGACUCUUAUAUGAUUUGAAUUCAUUUCUAAAAGUGUUUACAGACAUAUUUAGAGGAAGUGAUUGAGAAAGAAUAGUAGAGAGCAAUCUCUUAUCUUUAUGAUAAGAAUCACAAUCAGCUACUAUAUAUGUUGUUGAAUUCCAAAACCUUACUUGUAACAUGGAUUAAAAUAAUAAAGCCCUUAUCAAUCAAUUUUGAUAUGGAUUGAAGGAAAAUAUCAAGAAUUUUUUAUUAAAAAUGCCAAAAGUAAAUUUUUUGAAACAAUUUGUUGCUUGUUUAUUACAAUCAAUUAUUUUGAAAGGCAUUAAGAAUAAUAAUUUGGUUGAAGAGAAAUAAGUCAAGUAAUGAUAGCAACUUCUAAGUUUUCAAAAAAUCAUUCAUCAAGGCUAAAAUUGAUACAUAUUUAUAUGAUAUAUUUUAAACAUCUUAUUGAGCAAAAAAAGACUUAUUGUUAAGAAGAUUUAUACCUAUAUUAUAGAGAACCUAAAGACAUUACUCAACAUUAUCUAAAGAAGUAAAAAAAUCACAAAAUAAAAAGUAUGGUUGUCAAAGAAGAUGAUAUUUAAAAAACAAGUUUUUCAAACCAUAAUAGGAACCAUGUAGCUAAGAUCUUAGGCAGCUUCUAAUAAAGGUCCUAUUUUCUCUUCAAAUCCUUCAUCUUAUUUUACAAUAGAAGUUUUUUUAGGACCAAAAAAUCACAAAGUCUUAACAUUAUUCAAUUCAAGAGCCUUAGCUUAUUUUAUAGACAAAGACUUUUUCAAAAAAUAAGAUAUAUCUGUAAUUAAGAAAAUCAAACCUAUGCAUGUAGAAGUAAUAGAUGGUCAUGCAUUGUCUUUUAGGAAUGUUAUACAUAAAAUUAUUUCUAUAGAAGUAGCAAAUAUUAGUUAUAAUAGUUUAAUAAUAUUUAAUAUGAUUAAAUUUCUUCAUAAUUUAAUUAAUUUAGAAUUAUUGUGGUUAAAAAGAUAUAAUCCUCAGAGAGUGGAUUUUUCCAAUUUUUAUUUUUUUCAUAAUUUAGUCCAAGAUUUUGCUGGGCAAAUAAAAAUCCAUAAGACUAAUAUAUCCAAAUUAUUAUUAGUAGAUGCAAAAACUUUCAUGGAUGUUACAAAAGAAUGAUCAAUUUUUAUUAUAUAUGCCAUAUCUAUUGUUGAUAGAAAAUAUUUUUCAAGUGGCAUUCUAAGCCAAUACUAAGAUUAUCAAGAUAUAUUUGAAAUAAAAAUAUAAAUAUUCUUCUAAAAUUUUGUCCUUAUGAUUGUUCCAUCAAUCUCAAGUAGGAACUCAACCACCAUUUGGACUAAUCUAUAGCCUAUCAUAAAAUAAGUUGAUUACAGUCAAAGAAUAUAUUGAUGAAAAUUUGGCUAAAAUUUUUAUUUGCUAAUCUAAAUCUCCAAUUGGAACUUCUAUCUUAUUUGUGAAGAAAAAAGAUGGAUCUCUAUAGAUGUGUGUAGACUAUCAAGGACUCAAUAAGAUCAUUAUCAAGAAUAGAUACCUUUUACUUUUAUUUUUAAGACUUCUUGAUUGAUUGAAUCAAAAAAAGACCUAUAUAAAAAUAAAUCUAUGUAAAGUAUAUAAUUUGGUAUCUAUGAAAAAAAGAAAUGAAUAAAAAAUUACAUUUUGAACCACAUAUGGAUAUUUUAAAUAUAAUGUCAUGUCUUUUGGACUCACAAAUGUGCCAACUGCUUUUCAACAUCUAAUGAAUGAUGUUUUUUGUAAGUUUUUUAACAAUUUAAUCAUUUAUUAUUUAGAAGACAUCUUGAUUUAUAUUAAAAAUAAAAAAAAGUAUAAAUUUUAUAUUUAUCAUAUAUUACAAAAAUUAAGAAAUAUAAGAUUAUAUGCCAAGUUAGAAAAGUAUGUAUUUCAUAUUAUUUAAGUUGACUUCUUAGGAUAUAUUAUUUCAAACAAUGGUCUUAUGAUGGAUCCUAAGAAAGUCCAAACUAUCAUAGAUUGGAAGAUUCCAAACAUAAUCAAAGAUGUGCAAUAUUUUUUAGAAUUUGUUAGUUAUUAUUGGAUCUUUAUCACAAUAUUUUUUCAAGUUGCAAAGUCAUAGUGUAAUUACUUAUAGUAUAUAAAAAUUAGUUAGAACAUAUAAUAUAUUCAUAAGUUUUGAUGUAUGUUAGAAUGGUUAAUAGAUUAAUUUAAAGAGAGUGGAUUUAAGAAACUUAAUUUUGAGUUUUAUCUUUUUUGAUUAUAGCAUGUAAAAAAAUUAUAAGACCUAAAUAUUUAGUAUGAAGCCUUGAGAAGAGAUUAGAGCCUAAAGAUGAAACUCUUAAGUAAUAGGAAGCUUAUUGAGAGGGAUGAAAGCAAGACAUGGCUAGGUGAAGGCAAGGAAUGGGGAUCUUCAUUCCUAUUAGUCAAAGGCCAUACCUAAUGGACUUAAAGGAAGUUGCUCGAGGCCUUAUUAUGAAUUAGGGUUUCUUAUUGGAAGUCAUUUAAGCUUUGGAGGCUAGGAUCAACAACUUUAGGUUUUUGAGUAUGGAUUGGAUGCAAAUUUUGUAUAAUUUAGAGUUUUUAUGAAGGAAUUAUUGGCGCUCAAAGUUAAGGUAUUAAUUUCAUAUCUACUGUCACUCUUUGGAGCAUAACAUAUGUUUACGGAAAGCAAUGAAGGAUCGGCAAUUGGGAUUGAAGAGAGCACUUUUUCAAGUACAAUUUUCAUACAUUAUUUGAUGAAUUUAAAGUUGAGAUGAAGAAGUUAUAGAGAGUUAAUACAACACAUUCAAAUCAAAGGUAGUAAGUAAGUGAUUUUAUUCAUAGUAAUGGUUGGAGCCAUAUCUUGAGUUUAGAACGAAUUUUUGGCUCAAAUCUUUUAGAAAAGGUAGAUUAUUGUAUUAAAAAGCUAUAUAUUUAAAUUUUGUAGAAUUUGAGUGCUUAAUUUAUGAGAUAUGAAGAAAAUUACACGAAAAUGUAUAAAACUAAGGUUUAUGCUAUAUUAGGAUUUAAUAUAUCUUAGAUCCGUGACAAUUUUUAGUUGAAUUUUUUGUGGGUAGUUUUUAAAAAUAUAUUAUUACUUCGUAUAAAUUUUAAUGUGUUUGAUAGUCCAAUUGAAAUUUGAAAUGAUAUCCCAUAAGGAUAUUUAAGGAUUUAGAAGUGCUGGAAAGAUUUUAGAUAUUUUUGGAAACUUAAGAUUUAUGUAUUUAGUAUAAUAGUACCUAAAAGUAUUAUAUAUAUAUAUAUAUAUAAACUUUUUCUUUCUUAUGUCAAGACUUGAUUGAGCAAUUAGUGGCAAUGAAGAGCCUAGUGCUUUCUUAAGGCAAACUCUCUCUAUCUUGAUAGCAGCUCCUCUUAUAUACUUGAUAUAUAAAGACAAACUUGAGUAAAAUAAAGAAGCUUAAGCAUCUUUUUGAAGCCUUGAAAACAUCAUUUUUUUUUUUGUUCCAAUCUUAUGUUGCAUCAAUUUUUUAAAGACAUUCUUUAUAGAAAUAAAUGCAUCAAACUUUACUAUAGAUGUUGUUUUGUUACAAAUGAAAGCAAAUAAGGAAUUAUACUUGAUAGUUUUUUAUUCUAAGAAAUUUUAAGCAAUCAAAAUUAAUUAUGAAAUCUAAAAUAAAAAUCUUUUUAUAAUUAUAGAUUUAUUUUAAGAAUGGCAUUAUUAUGUACAAGGCACUUUUAGUUCAAUUAUUAUAUAUACAAAUUCAUAAGAACCUUGGGUACUUCAUAUCAAAACAUGUUUUGAAUUUUUGCCAAAGUUUUUAGAGCAUGUUUUAUCAAGAUUUGAUUUCAAGAUUAUUUAUUGAUCCAAAAAAUAAUAAAGUUUUUCAAAUACCCUUUCUUGAUGUUUUUAUGUUGCACCAAAAGAAAAAGAUGUAACUUUUAAUUAAUAAAGAAUGAUUUUUUUAUAAUCAAAAUAUUUUAAUUUUUGAACAAAAAUAUAAAUUUUAACAAUUGAUUCAAUCUUUGUCAAAUAAACUUAAUAAAGUAUAUCCUUUGAUCUUUUUGUUGAUAAUAUCAAGAAUAAUUCUUUUAAGUUUCAUGAUACUUCUAAGUUUGAGUUUUAAAAUAAUCUAUUCUAUUUUAAAUAAUGAUUAUAUAUUUCAAAAGGCAAAGUACAAUUACGUAUUCUUUAAGCUUGUCAUGACUUUCUAGUAGUCAAACAUUUUUGUUACAAUAAGACUUUAGAGCUAAUAUCAAGAUAUUUUCAGUAGCUUUAAAUGUGGAAGGUAAUUAAAGACUUUUUAUAAUCAUGUGAUAUUUAUUCAAGAUAAACAAUUCCUUGUCAUCAACCUUAUAGACUUCUUUAACCAUUAUUUAUACUAAAACAACCAUAAACUUUUAUUUCAAUAGAUUUUAUUAUAAAUCUUUUAGUCUUAGAUUUGUAUAAUUAUAUAUUUGUAAUAGUAGAUUUUUUUAUUAAGAUGGCACAUUUUGUACCAUAUACAAAAAAAUUCAUAGGUAAAAAAAUACCUAAGCUUUUGCUUGACAACAUCUAUCACUAUCAUAGAUUAUUUAAUGAUAUUAUAUUAGAUAAAGAAAUUCAAUUUGUAUCAAGAUCCUACAGGUGGAUAUAAAUUUUUUUUUGGCUUUUCAUCCUCAAAUUAAUAGACAAAAAAAAUAGAUGAAUGAAGUUUUAGAGCAGUAUUUGAGGUGUACCAUCAAUUAUUAUUAAGAUGAUUAAAUAAAUUUUUUGUCAUUAGUAAAGUUUACAUACAAUAAUUUGGUAGAUUUUUUAUUUUAAAAAAUACCUUUCUUUAUCAAUUAUGGUUAUCAUCCAUGACUAAAUACUUUUGACUUUUUAAAAGUUGAUAAUCUUGUAACAAUAGAUUUGGCAAAUCAUUUGUGAAAGCUAUAGGCAAUAAUAAAGGCACAAUUAAAGGAAGUUCAAGAAUGGUAAAAGAUCAAUGUGGAUGUCUAUGACUAGGAACAACCACAAUUCACCAUAGGUGAUACGAUAUGAUUGCUUUAUUAUAAUAUCAAGACUACUUGUACUUGUAAUAACUUGGACUAUUAUAGGCUUAGANNNNNNNNNNNNNNNNNNNNNNNNNNNNNNNNNNNNNNNNNNNNNNNNNNNNNNNNNNNNNNNNNNNNNNNNNNNNNNNNNNNNNNNNNNNNNNNNNNNNNNNNNNNNNNNNNNNNNNNNNNNNNNNNNNNNNNNNNNNNNNNNNNNNNNNNNNNNNNNNNNNNNNNNNNNNNNNNNNNNNNNNNNNNNNNNNNNNNNNNNNNNNNNNNNNNNNNNNNNNNNNNNNNNNNNNNNNNNNNNNNNNNNNNNNNNNNNNNNNNNNNNNNNNNNNNNNNNNNNNNNNNNNNNNNNNNNNNNNNNNNNNNNNNNNNNNNNNNNNNNNNNNNNNNNNNNNNNNNNNNNNNNNNNNNNNNNNNNNNNNNNNNNNNNNNNNNNNNNNNNNNNNNNNNNNNNNNNNNNNNNNNNNNNNNNNNNNNNNNNUUGGAAGAUUAGAGAGUGGAAUUUGAAAAAAAAAAUUGAAAAGAUAUUUUUGAGCAUUGGUUUUAUGUCAAUUGAAUAAAUAUUAUGUUUUUGGUAGAUUUUCAAAAAUAUUAAUGUUUUUGAUUGGAUUAGAUUUUAGAAAAUAAAAUUAUAUUUAUAAAAUUGAAGGUUUUUUAAGUUUUAUCUUUGAUAUACAAAUAAAUUUUAGAGAGUGUGUUGAUAUUUUAGUUUUUAGUUAAAUUCUAAAGUCAAUCAAAUAAUUACAACAAAAUAUAUAAAGAUUUUUAUAGGUUGAAGUCUCAAAAAUUGGAAUUUAAAGAUUAAUGAGUAUUUUUAAGAUCUUUUGCAAUCUGUUAGUUAGAUUGAAGUGAAUUUUUAUUUAUAAAAACUACAAUUGAUUUCUAAUAAUUUAGGUAUAUUUUAGAGAAAAUUUAAUAGUUUAAAAAAGAGAUAUUGGUAUAAGAAGUUCAACAUUUAGAUUGGAGUAAGAGACCAACCAACACCUAAGCAGAAUUUAGGUUUGAUCUUUUAUUUGGUAAGUUUGAUCUUCUUCAAAUUUUGUAUGCUUAUUUCAAACUUAGUUGUUAAAAAGUGUGUAAAAUCUUAAGCAAGAUCAAUAGUGUAAUUGAUAGAUAUUGAGGUUAUAAAUUACCCUAUGGUUAGGUUAAUUUACAUAGAAUUUGGAUUUGAGUUUAAGAAUUGGUUAUUGUGAAACAUCAAAAUAAUUCACUAGUUGUUUUAAGAUAAAAAGAUGUAUUUAGAGUACUUAGAACCACAAUAUAUGGUAAAUAGUAUAGAAAUCUUUAGAAAAAUAAAAAAUUAGAGAGUAAGUUGUAGAAUUGGAAUCUUAGUAAAUCUUGGAAGAAAUUAUCUUAGUUGGUUUAGUAUUUUUUACUUAUUAUUGAGUAUUGAGGAAUAUUUAUUAAGGUCAAAAUUUAUAUUGGCCUUCUAUCUAUUUAUAUUACUUAUAAGAAAAAACUAUAAAUAUAAGUUAAUAAUUAGAAGAAGCAUGAAAAAGAACCUCAUAUCUUUUUAGUUAGUUAUAUAAAAAGUAGGAUUUAUAGUAGAUUAAAAUUAAUUUUAUUGCUAUAAAAAUCAUAAAGAUAGGAAAUUAUAGCCUUAAACUGAUAUUAGUAUUAUAGAAUCAUUAUGAUAUUUUUUUAGAAUUUAUUUAGAAUUUAUUUAAAAAAUUUUAGGAAUUUUUAGAGUAAUUUCUAAGAUUUUGGUAAAAAUAAGUUUUACCACUUUGGGAGCCAUUAUGAAGAAAUGGAAGAAGUUUUGAAGGCCUCAAAAUACUCCUAGGCUAUUUCGGUGUUUUUAAAUAUCAUGGUGAAGUCAAAAAUGAAAAAUUAUGGAUUUUACUAGUAGAAAAAAAAGAGGACGAGCAGCUAAUGUAGUCCUUGUAAGAAGAGAGGUGUACUAGUCUCAUAUGGAUUGUAGCACCUUGAAGGUAGUUAGGAAGAUAAGACUAAGGUCUCCUGGCCUCUUUUAGGGACCCGAAUACACUACUUGUGAGCCUUGGUGAGGCUCAAACUCUUGAUCUCUUAAGCAAGUUAUCCUUAAGAUAAAAAUGAUUUGCUUAAUUUUUUAUUUAUUUACUUGUUAUUUUUCAAACAUUCAUAACUUACUCAUGAUAAUACGAAUUUAUAUGUUUUUUAUAUAAUUGAAAAGAUAAAAAAAAUUAAAUUUCUAAAAAUAUAUUUUUUAUUUUUUAUUUUUUACUAGAUAAAAACUUAAUGAACAAAUUGUGACUAGUUUUAUAGUAUAUAAUUACUUGAUUGCACUUGUUCUACUUAUUUUGUAUUUUGCAUCUUUUUUUCUUGUUCUUACUACUUUUACUUCACAUGAUCUAUUAAAAGCAAUUCUUAAUUGAGGCCAUCUUGUAAUUAGGUUGAAGAAUGAAUUUUACACUUAUAUUAGGAUUUAGGAUUUGUUUAGGAUUUGCUUAGGAUUUAGUUAGGAUUUAGUUAGGAUUUGAUUUUGUAUUUAAAUAAAGACAACUAAAAUUUUAACUAUGAUUAAAUUAAGAUUUAAUUAAAAUUUAUUUAAGAUAUAUUUAAAAUUUCUUUAUGCUUCUUUUGUAAUUUGUUUGAGGUACUUUGGAUUUGAUUAAAGAUUGAUUACCAUUGUUAAGAUUUAAUUGAAAUUAUUUAGAAUUCUAUUAGAAUUAAAAUCUUUUUGUUGUAAUGCUCCUUCUACCUUCCACAACCCAGUGCUUGGUGCAUUCUCAAGUAAGGCUUCAUGUAGUAUGACAUUGGAGUCUAUGAACAUCUAUUUUGUAGGCACAUGUCUCUUCUUGAGCCAUGUAGUGUAAAAUUCAUUCUUCAACUCAAAUUAUAAGAUGGCCUCAAUUAAAUAUUUCUUACAAUUGGUGGUAUAAAGUGGAAGUAGCAAGAAUAAUAACAAAAGAAGCACAACACAAAAACAAAUGAAACAAGUGUAAUCAAGUAAUUGUACAUUAUAAAACUAGUCACAAUUUGUUCACUAAGUUUUCAUCUAGUAAAAAAAAAAAAAAAAUACAUUAAGAAAGAUUAUUUUUUUAUCUUUUCAAUGGUAUAAGAAACAUAUAAAUCCGAAUUAUCAUGAAUAAAUUAUGAAGGUUUGAAAAAUAAUAAGUAAAUAAAUAAAAAGUUAAGUAAAUAAUUUUUACCUCAAGGAUAAUUUAUUUAAGAGAUCAAGAGUUCGAACCUCACCAAGGCUCACAAGUAGUGUAUCUGGAUUUUUAAGAAAGGCCACGAGGCCUUAGACUUAUCCUCCUAACAACCUUCAAGGUAUUACAAUCCAUAUGGGAUUUGUGUACCUCUUUUCUUAUAAGGACUAUAUUAACUGCUGGUCUUGCUAUUUUCUACUAGUAAAACCAAUAAUUUUAUAUUUUUGAAUUCACUUUGGUAUUUAAAAACAUCUAAUUAGCUCAAGAAUCUUAUGUGGCCUUCAAAAUCUUGCUCCAUUUCUUCAUAAUCGCUCUCAAAAUAGUAAAAUUUAUUUUUUUUUCCAAAGACUUAGAAAUUGCUCUAAAAAUUACUAAAAAAAUUCUAAAUAAAUUCUAAAUAAAUUCUUAUAAUGGUCCUAUAAUAUUAAUAUCAGUUUAAAGCUAUAAUUUCCUAUCUUGAUGAUUUUUAUAGUAAUAAAAUUAAUUUUAAUCUACUAUAAAUCAUACUUUUAUAUAAAUAACUGAAANNNNNNNNNNNNNNNNNNNNNNNNNNNNNNNNNNNNNNNNNNNNNNNNNNNNNNNNNNNNNNNNNNNNNNNNNNNNNNNNNNNNNNNNNNNNNNNNNNNNNNNNNNNNNNNNNNNNNNNNNNNNNNNNNNNNNNNNNNNNNNNNNNNNNNNNNNNNNNNNNNNNNNNNNNNNNNNNNNNNNNNNNNNNNNNNNNNNNNNNNNNNNNNNNNNNNNNNNNNNNNNNNNNNNNNNNNNCUAUUCACCAUAUAUUGUGGUUUUAAGUACUUUAAAUAUAUCUUUUUAUAUUUAAAAAACUAAUGAGUCAAUUUAAUGACUAAGAAAUAAAAUAAGAUAAUAAAUAUCUUGAAAAGAUGACAAAUGUCACUUCUUCUUAUAAAAAUAGAUAAUAAUUAAGAGUUUGAGAUAGAAGUAGUUUUAGAUUCAAUGCAGUACUAAAAUAGGUUAGAAUAUAUUAUUCAUUAGUGUAGACAUGAUAUUAAUGAAUGCACAAGGGAGCCAACAAAGAAUCUUAUAAAUACAACAAAGAAAAUUGAAGUUUUUUAUUAACAAUAUCUAUCAAAAUCAAGAUGAAUUAUAAAAAAUCUUUUUUAUAAAAAAAAUAAGAUCUAGAGAAGAUAGCAUUCUACUUCUUACAUUCUACAUCAAGACAACAUAAUUAAGAUAAAAAAAUUUAAGAAUAAGAUAUUCUUUCUCAAAUAGAUGGUGAAAUACAAUGUAUUUGAUAUCACAAUCUUAGAUGAGACUAAUAUUCCAAUGUUUGGUGAUUUUAGUAGAUGUAAAAAUGAAUCUUGAUGGUGUUCCAAAUAUUUUAUUUGAAAGGAGUUACAAAGGCUUCAACAACAAUCAAAUAACAAGAUGGUCUUUCUGUCCUAGUAUAAAAUACUAUUGAUGGCUAAGAAGAUCUAGCAACUAUCUUCAAAGAGAACAAAGAUUAGAUUAUGUAGCAAACAUAAUUUACUACUUUUUAGAUUUUAGGGUGGUCUUCUCGCCCUGGAAUGGGACACUAUCGAUGGCUAAGAGGACCCAUCAACUAUCUUCAAAGAGAACAAAGAUCAGAGUAUGUAGCAAAUACAAUUCGCCGCAUAUUAGAUUUUCUCAAUAUAUAAUCACCGCUCCUCGUGGAACUCGUCCCUAGAAGGAGGGGUAAUGUCACGGACAUACAUAUAAUUACCUAUAUGAAUAGAUAAAAGUAUGUAAAAGUAGGUUAAUUGUGUAAUAUCUUCUAGAAAAGCUUCUUAGAAGCUUCAUAGACGCUGCUUUGACUUUAUAGGAGUCUAUAGUUGACUUUUAGGUUAGAAACUUGGUCAACAAGUUAGCCAUGUGCCACGCAUGUUGGAAGCUUAAAGAACAAGCUAACUACGUGGUCCAUCCAUAGAAAACUUGCCUUGCAAGCAAAGGCAUGUGGCCUAGAAAGCCAACAUAUAUUGGAGGUCUUAUAGAACAUCGCCACGUGGCUUCUAGUUAGAUAGUAUAUAUAGAGGCAAGAGUGAAGCCCUCUUCACUCUUGUCAACUCCUUUCUUGCUUCUAGUCUAGUUUCAAG
rnacentral:lncRNA from 1 species